AAGUCGUAACAAGGUUUCCGUAGGUGAACCUGCGGAAGGAUCAUUAAAGAUUCUUCGGAUGUGCGCUCCGGCUGCACUCCGAAUCCAACCUCACACACCCGUGCGCCUCGAGCGAGGGGUUACACCCCCCGCCCGCCUUUCACAUCACACAAGUAAACCCGAAUGUCGUAUACCAUAAACUUAAUACAACUUUCAACAACGGAUCUCUUGGCUCUC
rnacentral:misc_RNA from 1 species